CCAGAGAUGGAUUGGUGCCUUCGGGAACGUCUGACACAGGUGCUGCAUGGCUGUCGUCAGCUCGUGUCGCGAGAUGUUGGGUUAAGUCCCGUAACGAGCGCAACCCUUGUCCUUAGUUACCAGCACGUUAUGGUGGGCACUCUAAGGAGACUGCCGGUGACAAACCGGAGGAAGGUGGGGAUGACGUCAAGUCAUCAUGGCCCUUACGGCCUGGGCUACACACGUGCUACAAUGGUCGGUACAAAGGGUUGCCAAGCCGCGAGGUGGAGCUAAUCCCAUAAAACCGAUCGUAGUCCGGAUCGCAGUCUGCAACUCGACUGCGUGAAGUCGGAAUCGCUAGUAAUCGUGAAUCAGAAUGUCACGGUGAAUACGUUCCCGGGCCUU
rnacentral:rRNA from 1 species